rnacentral:rRNA from 1 species
UGGGGAAUUUUGGACAAUGGGGGCAACCCUGAUCCAGCCAUGCCGCGUGCGGGAAGAAGGCCUUCGGGUUGUAAACCGCUUUUGGUCGGGAAGAAAGGGUUCGGACGAAUAAUCUGGACUGUUGACGGUACCGGCAGAAUAAGCACCGGCUAACUACGUGCCAGCAGCCGCGGUAAUACGUAGGGUGCGAGCGUUAAUCGGAAUUACUGGGCGUAAAGCGUGCGCAGGCGGUUGGUUAAGUCUGAUGUGAAAGCCCCGGGCUCAACCUGGGAAUGGCAUUGGAAACUGUCCAGCUGGAGUGUGGCAGAGGGGGGUGGAAUUCCGCGUGUAGCAGUGAAAUGCGUAGAGAUGCGGAGGAACACCGAUGGCGAAGGCAGCCCCCUGGGCCAACACUGACGCUCAGGCACGAAAGCGUGGGGAGCAAACAG